AUCUUGUUAGAAUGCAGAUGUCGACCCGCAGGUCUGGGAUGGAGCCCAAGGUUCUGCAUUUAUAACAAGUUC
rnacentral:miRNA from 1 species